CAAGGCUACUGAGCAUCAUCUUCCUUCUUCUCUCAACCUUCAUCUUAAGUUUUUCUCCCAUCUUCUCUCAUCACCGACCAGCGGGAUACUUCUCUCCAUAUCCAAAUCCGAUUACCGGUUUUUUUCCCUCUCCAAAUUCAAACAUUGUUGGAUGUCUUUCUACAUCUUCAUCUUAUCUCCUUGAAGCUUGGGUUUGCUACUUGGUAGAUUGCUAAUCUUGCACACAAGGUGCUCGAUGAAAUUCCUCAAAGGAAAAAUAAGAAUAGUGGUGGCGAACCAUGUUCCAAAGAGAAGAAAAUUCCAACUAG